UCCUAAAACCCUGAACUUUGAAUGUAAUUAAAAAUAUAGUAUAGUUUGAGAUACAUGCAGGUUGAAAAUACAGCAGUCACAACUAUACAUGAAUCUUAUUUGGUUCGAUGUAAUAGAAAGCACUGCAACUAUAAAUAAUUGGCUUGAUUGCAUGCAGUUGAAAAGUGUAUGUUUUUAAAUUUUAGUAUUAUAUAUAUAUGGUAGUGAGAUUACCUCCAAUGCAGAAAAAAUAAUUAUUUUCUAUUUAAAAAGUUAUUAGAUAACCUCGACAAAAUAUGUAUAUCGAAGGGCAUAUCAUCUACACUAAGAGACUGUUUGGUUGGAUGUAAUUAAAAAUACAGUGUAGUUUGAUAUACAUGCAAUUGAAAAUACAACAAUCACAACCAUAUAUGAAUCUUAUUUGGUUCGAUGUAAUAGAAAGCAUUGCAAUUAUAAAUAAUUGGCUUGAUUGCAUGCAGUUGAAAAGUGUAAUUUUUAAAUUUUUAAAUUUUAUAUAUAUGGUAGUGAGAUUACCUCCAAUGUAGAAAAGAUAAUUAUUUUCUAUUUAAAAAGUUAUUAGAUAACCUCGACAAAAUAUGUAUAUCAAAAGGGCAUAUUAUCUAUACUAAGAGACUGUUUGGUUGGAUGUAAUUAAAAAUACAAUGUAAUUUGAUAUACAUGCAAUUGAAAAUACAACAAUCACAACCAUAUAUGAAUCUUAUUUGGUUCGAUGUAAUAGAAAGUGUUGCAAUUAUAAAUAAUUGGCUUGAUUGCACGCAAUUGAAAAGUGUAGUUUUUAAAUUUUAGUAUUUUAUAUAUAUGGUAGUGAGAUUACCUCUCCAAUGUAGAAAAGAUAAUUAUUUUCUAUUUAAAAAGUUAUUAGAUAACCUCGACAAAAUAUGUGUAUCAAAAGGGCAUAUCAUCUACACUAAGGGCUUGUUUGGUUCAAGGGUGGAAUUGGAAUGGAUAAUGGAAUGAGAAUGAAUUGGAAUGGUAAUUGAAAUGACCCACUCCUCCAAGACGUUUGGUUUAUUUGUGGAUUGGGAAUUGGAAUGGGUUAUUUAAAUUUCAUUGUUUGAUUCAUAUAAACUAAAAAAAUUAUAGGAUACUAUAAUACUAAUUUUACUCUCAAAUAUAAAUUUAUAUUAUUUAAAAUUUAUAAAAGAUAUAAUACUAUUCUCUAAUAAAUUUUCCAAAAAAAAAUAUCAAAUUUAUUUUUAAAAACUUUUAUUGAUGUGGGUUAGGGAUAGGGUUUUGAGAGAGGAUAGAUUUUUUUUUUUUUUUGAUGAGAAAGGGGUGAAGAGAAGGAGGGUGAGAUGGUCACAUGGGCUUUGGGCUUGCGGAAUGAAAUCUCAAUCCGGGCUAGAAGACCGGAAUCAAGUUGAAGGCUAAUGGGCCAUUCCCAUUCCAGUCCGGAAUAGGAAUCCCAAACCGAUUCAUGCAAACCAAACAAAAUUAACUGGAUUUAAUCAAACCGAUUCCCAUUCCAUAUCCAAAAUAGAUGAACCAAACAAGCCUUAAGAGACUGUUUGGUUGGAUGUAAUUAAAAAUACAGUGUAAUUUAAUAUACAUGCAAUUGAAAAUACAGCAGUUACAACCAAUACGUGAAUCUUAUUUGGUUCGAUAUAAUAAAAAGUGUUGCAACUAUAAAUAUUUGACUUAAUUGCAUGCAGUUGAAAAGUGUAUUUUUUAAAGUUAUAGUAUUUUAUAUAUAUAGUAGUGAGAUUACCUCUGGUGUAGAAAAACAAAUUAUUUUCUAUUUAAAAAGUUAUUAGGAAGGUAAGUUUAUUUUUUGUUUAACGUUAUUCUCCCCAACUACCGUAAUUGAAACUGUGGCCAAUUUAAGCGUAGUUCUAUUGCAGUUGGGCCUCCUUAUGCAGUUCCAACCGCAACAAUUGGAUUCGAAUACAUCAAACCAAAUACUGAAUUUGAACUGCAGCUAAUUUAGACGUAAUUCUGUUAUGGUUUGAUGUAUAAC
rnacentral:lncRNA from 1 species